rnacentral:rRNA from 1 species
AAUCAACGCUGGCGGCGUGCCUAACACAUGCAAGUCGAGCGAGAAAGUGUAGCAAUACAUGAGUACAGCGGCGCACGGGUGAGUAACACGUGGGUAAUCUGCCCUUGAGUGGGGAAUAACACCGGGAAACCGGUGCUAAUACCGCAUACGAUCACGAUGUCUGCGGAUGUUGUGAUGAAAGGAGCAAUUCGCUCUUGGAGGAGCCCGCGGCUGAUUAGCUAGUUGGUAAGGUAACGGCUUACCAAGGCAACGAUCAGUAGCCGGUCUGAGAGGCCGGUCGGCCACACUGGAACUGAGACACGGUCCAGACUCCUACGGGAGGCAGCAGUGGGGAAUUUUUCGCAAUGGGGGCAACCCUGACGAAGCAACGCCGCGUGGGUGAUGAAGUCUCUUGGGACGUAAAACCCUUUCGACGGGGAAGAAACCGCAAGGUUGACGGUACCCGUAGAAGAAGCCCCGGCUAACUCCGUGCCAGCAGCCGCAGUAACAC